AGCGAACGCUGGCGGCAGGCCUAACACAUGCAAGUCGAACGAACCUUUCGGGGUUAGUGGCGGACGGGUGAGUAACACGUGGGAACGUGCCUUUAGGUUCGGAAUAACUCAGGGAAACUUGUGCUAAUACCGAAUGUGCCCUUCGGGGGAAAGAUUAAUCGCCUUUAGAGCGGCCCGCGUCUGAUUAGCUAGUUGGUUGAGGUAAUGGCUCACCAAGGCGACGAUCAGUAGCUGGUCUGAGAGGAUGAUCAGCCACAUUGGGACUGAGACACGGCCCAAACUCCUACGGGAGGCAGCAGUGGGGAAUCUUGCGCAAUGAGCGAAAGCCUGACGCAGCCAUGCCGGGUGAAUGAUGAAGGUCUUAGGAUUGUAAAAUUCUUUCACCGGGGACGAUAAUGACGGUACCCGGAGAAGAAGCCCCGGCUAACUUCGUG
rnacentral:rRNA from 1 species